UCCCAUCCCAUCCCAUCCCAUCCCCGGGAGGCCGCAGUGCAGCACCGAGCGCGGCCGUGGUUGUCACCACCGGGGCCAGCCCGACCCCUGCCCGGUGCGCUCAGCCCCGGGACCAGCGACCGCCGUCAGCGCUAAACAAAGUCAUCAUCGACCCCAACACCCAAACCUGGCCGGUGCCGUGGUUUCAUUUUCUUGUUGUUUUUAUUAAUCUCCAAAGCUGCUAAUGAGCCAGCAAAAUCCGCGCAGUUUCCGCAACGAGCGCUUGCCCAAAACUUGAAACAGUCUUUACAUUUCAAGUUCAUCUUCCGUUUCUUUCCGUAAAACCUGAACUUUAAUUCCUCGCGCCAAAGGAAAAACUGGAAUAAGCAUUACAAAAGUUUCCCUGCAGUUGAAAUUCUGACCCCUGCAAUGCUGUGCCACAGCAGUGCCCUUGCCCUGGUCAGAGCCUCCCCAAAGCCGAGGGAAGAAAACACUUUUUAUUCAGCAUUUUCAGAAACCUUGGUAAAUAAAUUCCUUGACGUGAAGUUUUAGGAUUGCACCAAACUUUUUAACAAUAUAACUUGAGAUGUAUCCAACACUUUUAAUAGAAUAUCUGUUCUCUGAUUAUAUAAUAAAACAGAACAAAAGUCAUCAAUUUGCACUACAGAACUUGGGUUGCUGUGGAAACCUUCAUUAUUUAUUUUUUUAACACGUGCAACUACUGUUUCCCCACCAAGCAGGGCCAGCUUUCUGUUUGGGUUUUUGUUUGGGUUUGGGAUGCUGGGUUUUGCUUUCCUGUGUGGAGUGCAAACAGUAAGUGGCCAAGAAUGAAACGUGCCUGUACAUUAUUCAUUUAGAAAAACAACUUAUUCAAUCCUACCUUAAUUCAUAUUCACAUUUUGGCAUUUAUAUUUACAAUAGCUUCAUUCCUUCCCUUCCUGAGGCACUCCCACAGCAUGCAGAAAUAGCUUUUUGAAGGGACAAAGCAUGACAAAGUCAUUGAGUUGCAUCUGUUUGAGAUAGGCUGCUGCUGGGUUUGAGAAACUGGUAUUGUUUUUUUAUCUCUAUAUAUGUAAACAAUAAAUACCUUUUCAUCUCUUCCUAGUACUUUGGGAGCAGAAAACCUCUGAAGUGACAGGAAUUGGUUAAUUCUUCCAGGCUCUUCAUUGCACAGCCUCAGCACUUCACGGAUUCUUCUUGCUGCCAAGCUGACCAGUACUUAAACUGAUACUUUUCCUGCUUAAGAAAAAACACAGCAGAUUUUUCUUCCAAAAUACAACCACGUCUAAGUUGACUCUUCCCCUUAAAGUAAAUAUGGACUGAAGGUGAACUUGGGAAGAUCAAGGGAACUGCACAAUCCUUUCAAAUGCUCUGCAAGGGACAAUGGAAGGUCAGAGUGCAGAAAGCAGAGACUCCUAUACCUCCCUGCAAGCAGAUUUUUCUCAGUUGUCCCAGCCCUAAGGUAUCAUGGAAUGUAUCAGCCUCUUGCCCUCCCUUUCAGGGACAACUGAACCUUGGUUCAUAGAGAACCACCUGACACACCUCCAGGGAGCAGCGGCUGAGGACUGAGGAGUUCCGGGUCCUUAUCUGCACACGGCGAUGAUGUGGAAAAAGGAAAAGUGACAGAUGUUUUCAUGCUGGACUGGCUGGAAGGGCAGGGCAGGGAUGCCUUCUCCUUGCCGUGCUUUCACUUCCACUCCGCUGCUCCGUCCCACGUCACUCACAGCAGCCUCAGGACCAAAUUAAAGCUCCGGCGGUGUCAGUGUUCAGCAGACUCUCCCCUCAUCCCGCUGGACGCAGCAGAUGGAGCGGAGCGCUCCGCUCCCGGCUCCCAGCCCGCUGUCCCUGGUGCUGGAGCCGCUCCCUUCGCCGCCGCUCCCGCUCCCAGCGGGGACCCGCUGGAUCCCGGUGCUCCAAGCCCUCUCCUGGCAGGCAGUGCCCUUCAAGCCAACCUCCCGCAGCGGCUGUGGCAGAGGACGAGGAGCCCUCCCGUUCCACACCUCGGCAUUCCCAGGGAGCGCCAGCUGGCCGUGCUGUCAGCCCCGGGCACAGGGACCAGCCUCAGGUCUGGCCGGGACCUCGGGACCCGUGCAGAGACCACGUUGGGAUCUGGAAAUAAAGCCAGUACUACCAAAAACAAUCGGAAAAACUGGAAUUUUGAAGUGCUGAGAUGGAUAAUUUGAAGUCCUGUUGGACCUAUCCAGGUUCAUCUCAUUUUUCCUUAUGGGAAUGCAAGAGCACACAGUUGAGCUGUGGCCAAACCUCCCCAGCUCAGCUACUGAGACCCACGACUACAGAAACAGUCAGUCAUGGCAGGGUGCUCAGUACCCAAGAAACACUGUUGAACAUUUCCUGCUAUUGUACUGUCCAUAUUAAUUACAUAUUUCUAUUUAAAAUGUGGACAUCCCAUGUGUUCAUCUUUGAAAUUAUUUGGAUUAUUUUUACCUAGAUAAAUUCAGUAUUGUGCAUGUGUAUAUUCAAAAUAAACAACGUAUAUGACACAAUAGUAUAUAAAAAUUUCAUUUUCUUAAGAUUGGAAUAAUUAAAUUGUGGUUAGUUUGGCAGAUAGUCAAAUCUGAUUUCUAACUGCUGGUGCCACGUGCCCAGAGUGAGAUCCUUCACUUAACAAGGAGAGGACAGUUAAGUCUUCAUAUAAGCUUCAGAUUCCAAAAUUAAUUUGAAAUAUAUUCCUUGUGAAAGGCAUUACUAUAUUCCUGUGUUUAAGAGAGAGAGAUUCUACAUGUGUUCCCAGCAGCCAAAACCACUUUGGUCUUCUGUAAAGCAGAUUUUUGAAACAACUUCUCAUGCAUGUCCCAAUUACAACUACAUCCAAAGACAGCCACAUGUGUCACUUAGCUUUACUGGGGAGAAAAACUGACAGAAAUUUAUCUGAAGAGCUUUGACCUGUGUAAUGAAAGCAAGAUCUUCUUGAGCAGAAGAAAAGAAAGCAGAAUGUUUUGUUACCUGACACAGCAGAACAAUGAGUGUAACAGUUCCGCAGACUGGCGUGUCCCUGAGUAGAAAGGAUGAAGUUACUGUAAAUCCAUCCAAAUACUCACAUCCAGCUCUGACAGUGAGUCAGCACAAAGUGACCAGCAGCUGAUUCAUCUGAAUAACAAAAGCUGAACACCUCAUCAGCUGUCCCCACACGGAAGUAAUCAAUACUCACACAAAUUCACUCUCCUGCCAUAAUGUCCUACAGCCCAACUGGCAAAGAGCUCUUCAUACCCACGUGUCUUCUACUCAGAGGCAGAGGAAUAAAUUCCAGUGACAUCCACACGUCCUCUCGAGGGUGUUGAAUCUUCACUUUUCCUUGAUGGUGCUCCUGACACUGUGGCAAUACAAGAAGUACAUUUGUGACAGUUGUUCACCACACAAAAAGGGUUCGGAUGCGAGUGACCCCCCCAGCUCAGGGAACAGCCCUCCUGGAAACUGGAGCAGUGCAGACCCAGCCUGGAGCUCCUCCAGAUGCUGUCCAGCUGCUACAGACACACCAACAGCUCAGCUCUGGGAGAGGCACCUUCCUGAAAACCAGGAAGGAACAUCCUGAUAUUAUGAAGUGACUGAACCAAGGAAUUGGAUCAGACAGCAGGACAAGAAGCCUAAAUUAAACAGGCUGUAUCCACACGGGGAAAAAAUGCCAUCUGAGAUUGUGCAGGUGCUUUGUGUAAAGGCAAAGAAUGUGCCCUGUGUCUCCUGUAAAGCUAUGCAAUAAAACUGUAAUUCCUUGUGUUUCAUUAACAUAUUAAAUAAGCAGCAACACAAAUCAACAUAACUGCCAGGAGCAGAAUUGCUGACCUCUCCCCAAAAGCUCUCCCCAAAACAUUCUCUCUCAGGGCAGGCCACUCGAAGAGGGAAGUACAUUUAUGUUAUAAAGUGGUUGAUGAUGGGCACAGGAUCUCACAGGCAGGAAAAAAACAGGGAAAGCCAUUUAAAAUGAUUGCUCAUAAACCAGCUGUGACCCAGGCCAAAAAUGGAAGUUUUGCAGACUUUAUUGAAUCCUUCCAUUCCUUCAAAGGGAAGGGAACACCUGGAGAAGAGUCUGCAGAAGCUUUUUUACAGGCAUACUUUUACCUACAGCACAUGACACAGAGUAAAGGAUGGAUUCAGUUAGAGGAUUUAUUUUUUAUAUAUGAUUCAUAAAUUAUCCACCAUCAGGAGCAAGACCACCAGGGUUUGGAUUGACUGUGGCCACUGCAACCUUCCUACACAGGGUGAACAACCUCACGUAUUUGUUUAGUAGUACUAAACCCAGCAACCAACAUAAAAUAACAGGCCUGUCAAGCAGAGUGCAAAUACAGACUGCAAACAGAUCUCUCAACUGUUCAGAUUAUGAAGAUAAAAUCUGGAUAAUUUUUAAUAAUCCCUUUUUUUUCUCCCUAUUGGUUACAGAGAAGGAUCUCCAGGAAUUUAUACUCAGCACACACUGCUACAAAUGUGUUACCUUUUAGAAUUAGAAAAGUGCAAAUUUUGAUGCAAUUAUUACCUUUUCCCACCAAUAUGAAAACUUUUCUUUAGGCCUCUGAUGCAUCUCAUUCCCUCCUGCAGUUCAAAAUCCUGGUUUGUUCUCAAGAUGCUUGACUGUAUCAGCUUGAGCUGAACCACGACAGCUGCUCCCUGUCACCCUCCAGACAGGACACAUUCAGCAGAGAUUUAAGAUUUCAAGCUGCUGUCUGGAGGAGCUAAAGGCAGGAUUUCCAGAGGACAGGUAAUCUGCCACUAAUACUAAUUCUGUUGCAACCUGGUCAAAUCUGUUGCUCACCCACUAAAUUCACUCUUCCUUACGAGUUCGUUUGGAAUUCAGGUUAAUUGCUGCCGUUUGCAAACUGCUCAUUCUACCCCAAAUAACACAGGCAGUGUCAGUACCUUUUAUGAGAUCAGCUCAGGGAACUCUGAGGGAAGGAAUGGACACGUUUUUGGGUGCAAAAGCCACCAAAGAAAUAAUGUUAUUAAAAUCGCUUCCAGUGCAUAUAAAGAGGCAAGGGCUGGAAUUUAUUACACAAAUAUAACAUUUUAUAGUUGAAAUUAUGCAGCACAGCUUUUCCAUAAAGAAUAUACAAGAAUAUAACUAAUAAAAAGAGAAAUAAAUUAAUAUAUAUCAAAACAAUGUAAGUGACAUAUUUUACUGGUGUGUGUGAGUUUGCUUUCUGAAUAACUAAUAAUUAACCUGCAUGUCUAAUGCAUCAUUUAAAAGAACCUGAUGAAAACAUCUAAGGAAAAUGAUAAUGAAAAGUGAUAAAAAUAAAUGGCAGAAAUGAAGUGCAGAAAUACAGAUAUACUUGUGUUAUGAAACAAGGAGACAACAGAAAUGACAAAACAGAAUGUGUCUGAGCCAAAAUAAUUUUGGGGAAUGAUAAGCAAACAAAUGAGUUUGCUCAAGAUUUUCAAGAGCAUUCUAGGAUUGGAUUUGAUGGGAAAGCUUUUCAAUUUUAUUGCUUCUAGAAAUUGUAUCAAGAUAGGAACUAACUUUGUGCACAGAGAGGGGAAACUAAAUGUUCCUGUUAGCAUUCAUACAUUCAUUACUGUGAGAGCUGCCAAAUUUCCUUCCCAAAUAUUUAACCAGUUCUCGUGAAAUGACACCAUUGUGAGUGUGAUUGUGAUUUGCAAAAAGGACAUUACAAAAGAGUUGACCAAACAACCUCGGAGCAAAUGCACAUAAUAUGAUUCAGUUUAAAUUAAAUGAAAUGCUGAACAAACAUUGGGCUCGAUCUUGAUUUUAGAAGAAUCUUUGAGUAACUAUGGUAACUGUUUACUGAAAAUAAUUGGGCUGAAAAACUUAUGAACUUGAACAUGAAGGUUUAGAAUAUAUUUAAUUUGUAAAUAGAUUACUAUUUCUAAAACAGAAUACCAAACAGACUUCAGCAAAACUGGGCUCCAAAGGAACAAGCACCCCAAAGGAUGGUAAUAGUGCAAAUGAAAAACCUAAAAGGACUUCUAAAAGGUCUGAAAUCAAAGAGAUUGGUGGUGCAGCCAAGGGGAGAAGAGGAAUCAGGACACUGGGGUCAAACAGGCCAAAUCUUUCCAUUGAAAACAGAGCACUCAACUGAGCCUGGGUGAAAACUGUAAGGAACAACUUGGGAGCACUUCAUGCACUCAUAUCACCCACCUUCCAGCAAGAUUAAUGAGACUAAAAAGAAGGUACAAAACAAUUCAGGAAAUGGAAGAUCUGUCACGUGAGAAGAGAGGAAGACAAGAAUCCUUGCUUGCCCAGCAGACAGAAACAAAGACAAGACACAGUUAUGUCAGGAGAUCAUUGCCAGCCCAAUGUCCAAUAAAAGGACUUUGUUACAGUGAAAAGUUUGUCUUGUAUUAGAUUGCUACAGUAAUAAAAUAAUUAUUUUAUUCAGA